GUGGCGGCGGGGCGGGCCCGGCCGAGUACGCCGCUUCCGCGCCCGCUUUCCCGGCUCCCAGGCCGGCGGGCUCCCGCCUCGGGGGGACGCGUACCAGCAGCGGGCCUAAGGAAACUGCGGGCGGCCUCACUGCUGCUGUCCGCCCUCUUUGGGCAGCUCUAAAAGCUUGCCAUCGAAUUCUGAGGCAGCAAUAAUACACCAAAUGAGAGACAGCUCAUUUGUUUAAAAGAAUCUCAGCCUCGUCACCUCCUACCAUCGCUAAUUAACAACAGACACCUGGUGUCAGAGCACAGACAAUCACCACAAGGCUAUCAACUGAGCUCAUGAAAAGCACCGCAGCCCCAAAUGCCAACGUUUCUCCUCAUAAGCUGUCUGAAGCUGACAAUUCUCACACAUCAAAAAACAACCAUUAAUACAGAAACAACAUCAGACCGUGAGGUGGACAAUAUCUCUGUGGCAAACCCUUCUGGUUUCAUGUACUGAAAGUGGAACGAUGCUGCAGAUCUCCAGGACCAAGGAAACAGCCAUCAGCUCCAUCAGCUGUCUCCUCCACAAAAAUAAAAAAAAGAUAUUGAAAGUGCAGCCUGGUGAAACUGGGAGAUACUUCUGCGGGGUGAAACAAAGUACACUCUGUAACUCACCUCAUUACCACAGAUUACACAGAGGUAUCGGUAGCUCUAUUUUUAGGCUGCCACAAUUCUAAGAGUACCUGAGGCUACUCAGACAAGUCAUGCACAAGCUGUAAUUGCAUGAUAUGUUUUAUUGCACGAUAUGUUUUCCACUGAAAUUCCUGCCUCCUCCAGCUUACAAGAUAGGAACCAGACCAGAAUUGCACAAGCCAAAUUGUUUUUUUUUUUUUUCUUGGCUUUUGAGUCUGACUGCUACCAAAAUACUGCUUCAGCGUUCCCCUUUUGUUGCUUCAUAGCUUCCUACUGCAUGCAUCUGCAGUCUCUCUCCUUUUACUAUGAAGUACUUUAGCAGAUGGAUCUAAGCUGGUGCACACCCAGAACAUCACUGCCCUCCCCCCCUUCCAGCACCUCACACCAAUUCUUCACUGCCUCUUUAAGAAGUUGUGCUACUGCACAGUGCUUUAAUUUGGGGAUAUGACUGCUACAAACAGAGCUUUUGUUUUAUUGCAUCAGUUUGGUUGCUCUAGUUAAACUUCUGGAUCUGCUUUGCUACAGGGCAAUGGUAACCAUCUGCAUACAAACAAGUGUUACACAGGAAAAGGAACGAGCAGCAGGACUUCCAGAAGAUAAACUGAAACCAGCAGACCACAAAACUUGAGAUGAUCUUUGAGACAGGUAACUAAGAUUUGAUUCUUGACAUGAUAAGCCACAAAAUGCUCAUUUUAAUGGAGGCUCUUCGCAUAUAAUCAAUUACAGUAAUCAAAGGGAACUUCAGGAGACUAAUACCUCAGGCAAAGAUCAGAUUAUGAGAACAUCAUUCAAAUUUAACAAAAUACAAAUAGGAAUACAAGGAAUUGUUUGGAAGUUUAGUAUAAAUAGGAUUAGAGAGCUUUUUAUGCAAGUCCAAAAAAGAGUACCAGAACUGUUUUGAAAUGUAAUUAGUUUAUUAGAGAUCUGACCUGACAACCUGAGAAAUAUCAGUUGCACACCAAACCUGCAGACUUUGCCAGAGUGAUUUGGCAGCUCUGUGAUUCAGUCAUGGUUCAAGAACCACCAGUUCUACUUGCUUUUCCACCCACUUAUACACAUUUUUAAGUCUCCUAAGUUAUAAGAAGAAUACCACAGCAGAAGACAGCCAUUUGAUGAGAGAACUUGACUGCAAUAACAUUAUGUGCAUUUUCUACCAGGUUAUUCUUCUCAUCUUUAGUACUACCAUAUUUUCCAAUUCCAUACUUAACAAAUUAGGAAUGCUCCAGAAGAGUAAGAGACAAAGGCCAAUUCACACAAGGAAAACCUCACACCACCUACUUCAGGCAUAUUUCAAGUGCUUUGAAAUUAUCCCUAUUAUUCCCUGAAAAGCUUCUCCCUUCUGAUUACAGACUAUAGGGGGAUUUGGUCCCACACAGUCGCACUGGAUUUGUAUGAAUAAAAUAGUGCACAUAUACUCCAAAAGGACAUGAGAGAACCACAUACAUCGCUCCAAAAGUAAUGCCUCCUACCUAUUUCCAUGGAAACUACAACGGAUACAAAGAACAUAAUAACACUAUUUGAUAUUCUCAGCUACCAAACGCUGUUUUUUGACAUAGCCACCACCAUUAGCUGUGUAUUUCUGACAGCAAUGAAUGAGAGCUUGCAUCCCAUACUCAUAAAAAUCUGCAUGGCUGUCUGGAACAUGGUUUGUCUUUCAUGUAGCUGCUGCCAUCACUGGAACGUACCACCUCCCCAUCUCACUGUGCUCAUAUCCACUGUUUGGUUCUCCAUCAAUGUUCAUCAAGCAUCAAUGAAUAUCAACAAGUGCAUUUUUUUCCUUGUGGAGGAAUUCAAUGACACACCUUUGCUUCAUAUGUGCUUCUUUGUCAGAUGCCACUCCAUCUGAUUGCCCCUCUGCAGCCAUUUGUCACACAGCAACAAAGCAUAACCGAAUAGUGGUAGAAAGGUUUAACCUCUACUGGCAUACUACCAAUAUUCACCUCUGACGUCAUGGGCUGACAUCAUAAAGUAGGAGGCAUUACUUUCGGAGCAGACCUCGUAACAGCUACACUGCAGACCUGUGCUCCUUCCAUUGGACCAUUACAGCCAUUUUUACAAAUAUUAACUUCUCUGGCAUUGUAUUUUGAGCAAUCUUGAGUUAACGAACAUUUGAAAUCCAAGUCUUUUUAUGGUCAAUUUAGGUCUCCCAAGAAAGAAUGAGUUUGCUCUUACAGAGUCCAUCAUGCAAUAUGCUACAUAUCGGAUGGCUUUUACCCUUGGGGUUCAUGUUUAAUUUCUGCUAUAUCUAAAUAACGUAAGUGCUUUUGAAUCAUACAGAGUUACAUACUUAAAAAAAAAAAUGAGGAAAGAAUCCAGACCAUUUCCAUAUAUUUGAAGGACUAUUUAAAAAAGACAAAGCACACCUAUGCAUAUGUGGUUUAACAACAGCUCUUCACUGUUUUGUGGUAUCUGUAAUCAGAUUGUGAAGCAAACUCUCACAAGUGACUCCAGCAUGAGUCACUGUAACCAAAAAAAACUCAUACUACUUUAGAACACUGAAAAGGAUGUCAUUUAAUCUGCAUAUACAAACAUGCAGUUUCCCUAUAUACUGAUACCAUCUGAUACACUACAGUAUCAAGCGAGCGGAAACAUCUACUAGAACAGCUUCCAGCAGGGCAAGCAUCAGACAGGUGCUUGAGCAAGAGAAUACAUGCUAGAUGGUUAUUUUAUCAUUUUUUUAAUGAACAGCUACCAAAAUAAAAUACUAUGAACACUUGUUCUCAGUAUGUACCUGAAAUGUUACUCCUAGGGAUUGGAAGUACACUGGAUAUGGAGCUUAAAGAAAAAACAUAAUAAUUUUAAACAAACUACAUGUCCACUCACUAAUCUCUCCAACUCAACAUUCUGUAUAGCCUUAGCACUGUGCCCUUCCAAAGCAACUUUCAGCAACGUUUUCUUCUGAGAUUUCACAUUAGUGCUGAUGUGUUGGUGUUGCAGAAGAAAACUUAUCUUUCGUAUCUUGUUUCAAAUUGCAUGCUCUUCAGUCUGGCUACCAGCAAGAACUGUUCCCUCAUUCUGAGCAAGACAUGGAAAAAAAGGAAGUAUUCUUAAGUCACAUCAGCUUAAUGGUGACAGUUCUGAGAUGGCCAAAGCACCAGGUUAGCUUUAGGAUAAGGAAAGGAAUCACAGGAAUUUGAUAUUUUAUUUUGCAAGCUCUCUAUUCAGUUGCAAAUAAGGCCUCAAAUACUUCCACUUUUCAAGACAAAAGAAUGAGCCAGGAAUGCAUAUGAAUGCAUAUUAUUAUGAUGUUCAGAUACUCAGGUGAGCAUAAAUCAACUCUAAGUUUGCAAACAGCUGUCUGUGUAGGUAAGGAUGUGCAGGUUUGUGUUUCUGUAUGUGCCCUUAACACAUGCACCAAAUCAGCGUGAGAAAAGGCAUUUCACUUCAAGUGUUUCACCAUAUUUCACUUCCCCUCCCUUUUUAAAUCCUCUCCCUGAUUUCUAUACUGCUUCCUCACUAAGAUUUGUGCAUCUCUAAGGAUCUCUCACUUUUUCAAGUUUUAUACUUGUCUGUCCUUUGAAAUGAUAGAAAAGCAAGGCAGUAAGUCUACUGCUCUAAAACUUCUUCGGGUGAUUUUCUACAUUCAUGUUUGCUGGUCUGAUCCCUAAAAUUACCCUUUAAGCAGUUACUGGUGACAGUUUCUUACAUGUUUAAUGCAAGUUUCUUUUUCACAUCAUCUUUCACUAUCUGGAAGACUCCUGUAUAUUCUGUAUGUGUGUGUAUAUAUAUAUAUAUAUUUUUUUUUUAAUAAAAAGCUAUAUCAACAUAAA